AUGGUUGGAGCAAGCUUAAAGCUGAUGUGCUUUCUUUUUGGGAAACACGGAGUUAAAAUACUAGAUUUCAGCGAGUUCUAUGUGGAUUUCAUUAAUUCUCGUGCAGAGGAUGAGACUACAGUGGAGCAUCAUUAUCGGUGUGAUGUUUUCAUGGUUGCCGUUGAUCAACAAGCACAUGAGUUGAAUUGCAGAUUCAACAAACAAGCAAUAGAGCUUCUCAUUUUGUCCACUUCGUUGGAUCCUAAGAAUGCAUUCACUUCAUUUAACAUUGAUAAUAUAUGUUCUCUAGCUUCAAAAUUCUAUCCUGCUGAUUUUGAAGAACAAGAAAGAAAUAAUCUGAGAUGUCAGUUACGGCAUUAUGAGAAUGAUAUACUCACAAACCCGAAGUUUCAGAAUUUGACAACGAUAUCUGAACUUUGUCAACAGCUUGCAGCAACUGGGAAAUCAGAUGAAUACCACUUGAUUGACAGAUUGAUUCGACUUGUACUUACUUUACCGGUUUCAACUGCAACGACACAACGUGCAUUUUCUGCAAUGAAACUUGUGAAGACAAGGCUUCGGAAUAAAAUGGAAGAUGAAUUACUAAGGGAUUGCUUCGUAAUUUAUAUUGAAAAGGAGAUUGCAGUUGGAAUAUCAAUAGAUGCAGUUAUAUAUGAGUUCGAUGAAUCACCACGUCGAGUGCAAUUUAGUUGA
rnacentral:rRNA from 1 species